UUAAGCGACUAAGCGUACACGGUGGAUGCCCUGGCAGUCAGAGGCGAUGAAGGACGUGCUAAUCUGCGAUAAGCGUCGGUAAGGUGAUAUGAACCGUUAUAACCGGCGAUUUCCGAAUGGGGAAACCCAGUGUGUUUCGACACACUAUCAUUAACUGAAUCCAUAGGUUAAUGAGGCGAACCGGGGGAACUGAAACAUCUAAGUACCCCGAGGAAAAGAAAUCAACCGAGAUUCCCCCAGUAGCGGCGAGCGAACGGGGAGCAGCCCAGAGCCUGAAUCAGUGUGUGUGUUAGUGGAAGCGUCUGGAAAGGCGCGCGAUACAGGGUGACAGCCCCGUACACAAAAAUGCACAUGCUGUGAGCUCGAUGAGUAGGGCGGGACACGUGGUAUCCUGUCUGAAUAUGGGGGGACCAUCCUCCAAGGCUAAAUACUCCUGACUGACCGAUAGUGAACCAGUACCGUGAGGGAAAGGCGAAAAGAACCCCGGCGAGGGGAGUGAAAAAGAACCUGAAACCGUGUACGUACAAGCAGUGGGAGCACGCUUAGGCGUGUGACUGCGUACCUUUUGUAUAAUGGGUCAGCGACUUAUAUUCUGUAGCAAGGUUAACCGAAUAGGGGAGCCGAAGGGAAACCGAGUCUUAACUGGGCGUUAAGUUGCAGGGUAUAGACCCGAAACCCGGUGAUCUAGCCAUGGGCAGGUUGAAGGUUGGGUAACACUAACUGGAGGACCGAACCGACUAAUGUUGAAAAAUUAGCGGAUGACUUGUGGCUGGGGGUGAAAGGCCAAUCAAACCGGGAGAUAGCUGGUUCUCCCCGAAAGCUAUUUAGGUAGCGCCUCGUGAAUUCAUCUCCGGGGGUAGAGCACUGUUUCGGCAAGGGGGUCAUCCCGACUUACCAACCCGAUGCAAACUGCGAAUACCGGAGAAUGUUAUCACGGGAGACACACGGCGGGUGCUAACGUCCGUCGUGAAGAGGGAAACAACCCAGACCGCCAGCUAAGGUCCCAAAGUCAUGGUUAAGUGGGAAACGAUGUGGGAAGGCCCAGACAGCCAGGAUGUUGGCUUAGAAGCAGCCAUCAUUUAAAGAAAGCGUAAUAGCUCACUGGUCGAGUCGGCCUGCGCGGAAGAUGUAACGGGGCUAAACCAUGCACCGAAGCUGCGGCAGCGACGCUGAUGCGUUGUUGGGUAGGGGAGCGUUCUGUAAGCCUGCGAAGGUGUGCUGUGAGGCAUGCUGGAGGUAUCAGAAGUGCGAAUGCUGACAUAAGUAACGAUAAAGCGGGUGAAAAGCCCGCUCGCCGGAAGACCAAGGGUUCCUGUCCAACGUUAAUCGGGGCAGGGUGAGUCGACCCCUAAGGCGAGGCCGAAAGGCGUAGUCGAUGGGAAACAGGUUAAUAUUCCUGUACUUGGUGUUACUGCGAAGGGGGGACGGAGAAGGCUAUGUUGGCCGGGCGACGGUUGUCCCGGUUUAAGCGUGUAGGCUGGUUUUCCAGGCAAAUCCGGAAAAUCAAGGCUGAGGCGUGAUGACGAGGCACUACGGUGCUGAAGCAACAAAUGCCCUGCUUCCAGGAAAAGCCUCUAAGCAUCAGGUAACAUCAAAUCGUACCCCAAACCGACACAGGUGGUCAGGUAGAGAAUACCAAGGCGCUUGAGAGAACUCGGGUGAAGGAACUAGGCAAAAUGGUGCCGUAACUUCGGGAGAAGGCACGCUGAUAUGUAGGUGAAGUCCCUUGCGGAUGGAGCUGAAAUCAGUCGAAGAUACCAGCUGGCUGCAACUGUUUAUUAAAAACACAGCACUGUGCAAACACGAAAGUGGACGUAUACGGUGUGACGCCUGCCCGGUGCCGGAAGGUUAAUUGAUGGGGUCAGCGCAAGCGAAGCUCUUGAUCGAAGCCCCGGUAAACGGCGGCCGUAACUAUAACGGUCCUAAGGUAGCGAAAUUCCUUGUCGGGUAAGUUCCGACCUGCACGAAUGGCGUAAUGAUGGCCAGGCUGUCUCCACCCGAGACUCAGUGAAAUUGAACUCGCUGUGAAGAUGCAGUGUACCCGCGGCAAGACGGAAAGACCCCGUGAACCUUUACUAUAGCUUGACACUGAACAUUGAGCCUUGAUGUGUAGGAUAGGUGGGAGGCUUGGAAGUGUGGACGCCAGUCUGCAUGGAGCCGACCUUGAAAUACCACCCUUUAAUGUUUGAUGUUCUAACGUUGACCCGUAAUCCGGGUUGCGGACAGUGUCUGGUGGGUAGUUUGACUGGGGCGGUCUCCUCCUAAAGAGUAACGGAGGAGCACGAAGGUUGGCUAAUCCUGGUCGGACAUCAGGAGGUUAGUGCAAUGGCAUAAGCCAGCUUGACUGCGAGCGUGACGGCGCGAGCAGGUGCGAAAGCAGGUCAUAGUGAUCCGGUGGUUCUGAAUGGAAGGGCCAUCGCUCAACGGAUAAAAGGUACUCCGGGGAUAACAGGCUGAUACCGCCCAAGAGUUCAUAUCGACGGCGGUGUUUGGCACCUCGAUGUCGGCUCAUCACAUCCUGGGGCUGAAGUAGGUCCCAAGGGUAUGGCUGUUCGCCAUUUAAAGUGGUACGCGAGCUGGGUUUAGAACGUCGUGAGACAGUUCGGUCCCUAUCUGCCGUGGGCGCUGGAGAACUGAGGGGGGCUGCUCCUAGUACGAGAGGACCGGAGUGGACGCAUCACUGGUGUUCGGGUUGUCAUGCCAAUGGCACUGCCCGGUAGCUAAAUGCGGAAGAGAUAAGUGCUGAAAGCAUCUAAGCACGAAACUUGCCCCGAGAUGAGUUCUCCCUGACCCUUUAAGGGUCCUGAAGGAACGUUGAAGACGACGACGUUGAUAGGCCGGGUGUGUAAGCGCAGCGAUGCGUUGAGCUAACCGGUACUAAUGAACCGUGAGGCUUAACCUU
rnacentral:rRNA from 5 species